AGUCCAGACUCCUACGGGAGGCAGCAGUGGGGAAUAUUGCACAAUGGGGGAAACCCUGAUGCAGCGACGCCGCGUGAGUGAAGAAGUAUUUCGGUAUGUAAAGCUCUAUCAGCAGGGAAGAAAUAGCGACCUUUGGGUCGCCAGACGGUACCUGAUUAAGAAGCCCCGGCUAACUACGUGCCAGCAGCCGCGGUAAUACGUAGGGGGCAAGCGUUAUCCGGAUUUACUGGGUGUAAAGGGAGCGUAGACGGCAGCGCAAGUCUGAAGUGAAAUGCCGGGGCUUAACCCCGGAACUGCUUUGGAAACUGUGCAGCUAGAGUGCAGGAGAGGUAAGUGGAAUUCCUAGUGUAGCGGUGAAAUGCGUAGAUAUAAGGAAGAACACCAGUGGCGAAGGCGGAUGACUGGACGGCAACUGACGGUGAGGCGCGAAAGCGUGGGGAGCAAACAGGAUUAGAUACCCCAGUAUAA
rnacentral:rRNA from 1 species